UGGGGAAUAUUGCACAAUGGGCGCAAGCCUGAUGCAGCAACGCCGCGUGAGGGACGACGGCCUUCGGGUUGUAAACCUCUUUUAGUAGGGAAGAAGCGAAAGUGACGGUACCUGCAGAAAAAGCACCGGCUAACUACGUGCCAGCAGCCGCGGUAAUACGUAGGGUGCAAGCGUUGUCCGGAAUUAUUGGGCGUAAAGAGCUCGUAGGCGGUUUGUCGCGUCUGCUGUGAAAAACCCGAGGCUCAACCUCGGGCCUGCAGUGGGUACGGGCAGACUAGAGUGCGGUAGGGGAGAAUGGAAUUCCUGGUGUAGCGGUGGAAUGCGCAGAUAUCAGGAGGAACACCGAUGGCGAAGGCAGUUCUCUGGGCCGUAACUGACGCUGAGGAGCGAAAGCGUGGGGAGCGAACAGGAUUAGAUACCCUGGUAGUCCACGCCGUAAACGUUGGGCGCUAGAUGUGGGGACCAUUCCACGGUUUCCGUGUCGCAGCUAACGCAUUAAGCGCCCCGCCUGGGGAGUACGGCCGCAAGGCU
rnacentral:rRNA from 1 species